rnacentral:rRNA from 1 species
AGUGAACGCUGGCGGUAGACCUAACACAUGCAAGUCGAACGGCAGCACAGUAAGAGCUUGCUCUUACGGGUGGCGAGUGGCGGACGGGUGAGGAAUACAUCGGAAUCUACUUUUUCGUGGGGGAUAACGUAGGGAAACUUACGCUAAUACCGCAUACGACCUACGGGUGAAAGCAGGGGAUCUUCGGACCUUGCGCGAUUGAAUGAGCCGAUGUCGGAUUAGCUAGUUGGCGGGGUAAAGGCCCACCAAGGCGACGAUCCGUAGCUGGUCUGAGAGGAUGAUCAGCCACACUGGAACUGAGACACGGUCAAGACUCCUACGGGAGGCAGCAGUGGGGAAUAUUGGACAAUGGGCGCAAGCCUGAUCCAGCCAUACCGCGUGGGUGAAGAAGGCCUUCGGGUUGUAAAGCCCUUUUGUUGGGAAAGAAAAGCAGCAGGUUAAUACCCCGCUGUUCUGACGGUACCCAAAGAAUAAGCACCGGCUAACUUCGUG